rnacentral:rRNA from 1 species
GACGGAGGAUGCAAGUGUUAUCCGGAAUCACUGGGCGUAAAGCGUCUGUAGGUGGUCAAAUAAGUCAACUGUUAAAUCUUGAGGCUCAACCUCAAAAUCGCAGUCGAAACUAUUCGACUAGAGUAUAGUAGGGGUAAAGGGAAGUUUCCGGUGGAGCGGUGAAAUGCGUAGAGAUCGGAAAGAACACCAACGGCGAAAGCACUCUGCUGGGCCGACACUGACACUGAGAGACGAAAGCUAGGGGAGCGAAUGGG